rnacentral:rRNA from 1 species
UACGAAGGGGGCUAGCGUUGCUCGGAAUCAUUGGGCGUAAAGCGCACGUAGGCGGCCGAUUAAGUCGGGUGUGAAAGCCCUGGGCUCAACCCAGGAAGUGCACUCGAAACUGACCGGCUUGAAUAUGGAAGAGGGUCGCGGAAUUCCCGGUGUAGAGGUGAAAUUCGUAGAUAUCGGGGAGGAACACCAGUGGCGAAGGCGGCGCCUGGGCCAAUAUUGACGCUGAGGUGCGAAAGCGUGGGGAGCAAACAGG